AACGAACGCUGGCGGCAUGCCUAACACAUGCAAGUCGAACGAGACCUUCGGGUCUAGUGGCGCACGGGUUCGUAACGCGUGGGAACCUGCCCUUAGGUUCGGAAUAACUCCCCGAAAGAGGUGCUAAUACCGGAUAAUGUCUUCGGACCAAAGAUUUAUCGCCUUUGGAUGGGCCCGCGUUGGAUUAGCUAGUUGGUAGGGUAAAAGCCUACCAAGGCGACGAUCCAUAGCUGGUCUGAGAGGAUGAUCAGCCACACUGGGACUGAGACACGGCCCAGACUCCUACGGGAGGCAGCAGUGGGGAAUAUUGGACAAUGGGCGAAAGCCUGAUCCAGCAAUGCCGCGUGAGUGAUGAAGGCCUUAGGGUUGUAAAGCUCUUUUACCCGGGAUGAUAAUGACAGUACCGGGAGAAUAAGCUCCGGCUAACUCCGUG
rnacentral:rRNA from 1 species